rnacentral:rRNA from 1 species
GAUGAACGCUAGCGGCAGGCUUAAUACAUGCAAGUCGAGGGGCAGCACAGAUAGCAAUAUUGGGUGGCGACCGGCAAACGGGUGCGGAACACGUACACAACCUUCCUUUUAGUGUGGGAUAGCCCAGAGAAAUUUGGAUUAAUACCACAUAGUAUAUUGGAGUGGCAUCACUUUUAUAUUAAAGAUUUAUCGCUAAAAGAUGGGUGUGCGUAUGAUUAGGUAGUUGGUAGAGGUAACGGCUCACCAAGCCUUCGAUCAUUAACUGGUGUGAGAGCACGACCAGUCACACGGGCACUGAGGCACGGGCCCGACUCCUACGGGAGGCAGCAGUAAGGAAUAUUGGUCAAUGGACGGAAGUCUGAACCAGCCAUGCCGCGUGAAGGAUGACGGCCCUCUGGGUUGUAAACUUCUUUUAUGUGGGACGAAAAAGGGCCAUUUUUGGUCAACUGACGGUACCAUAGGAAUAAGCACCGGCUAACUCCGUGCCAGCCGCCGCGGUAA